GAUUAUGGCUCAGGAUGAACGCUAGCGGCAGGCUUAACACAUGCAAGUCGAGGGGCAUCGGGAGUAGCAAUACUUGCCGGCGACCGGCGCAAGGGUGCGUAACGCGUGAGCAACAUGCCCGUAUCAGGGGGAUAAUCCAUGGAAACGUGGUCUAAUACCCCAUAGUAAUUAUGUAAGGCAUCUUAUAUAAUUUAAAGCUUUGGUGGAUACGGAUUGGCUCGCGUGACAUUAGCUGGAUGGUAAGGUAACGGCUUACCAUGGCUACGAUGUCUAGGGGUUCUGAGAGGAAGGUCCCCCACACUGGAACUGAGACACGGUCCAGACUCCUACGGGAGGCAGCAGUGAGGAAUAUUGGACAAUGGAUGGAAAUCUGAUCCAGCCAUGCCGCGUGCCAGGAAGACGGCCCUAUGGGUUGUAAACUGCUUUUGUAUGGGAGCAAUAAGGGCUACGUGUAGUCCGAUGAGAGUACCAUACGAAUAAGCACCGGCUAACUCCGUGCCAGCCGCUGC
rnacentral:rRNA from 1 species